UUUUGUCCUUCCCUCAUAUUUUUUUAAAGAACAAUUAUUUUUUUUUACACUAUAGAGGGGGCUCCUAUGGCUGCUGUAAAUAUUACUGACAAUAAAUACUGACUUUCUAUUAUGUACCUAUUCAUUUCUGAAGGACCAAAAGAAAGGACCCUCCUUUGUCCUCCUUCCCAAUAAAAAGAUGGACUUCUGCCAUGUGGAAGUUUGGGAGCUAGAAAAGGAAGCAUCUUAAAAAUGGACUGCAAACAGAAGAUACACCUCUGGGUGACAAGCAUUUGGCACCAGUCUUCUGUGCUUCCUCAAAAAGGCUGUCAACAAAAUAUUCACAAUCUGUUUGCUGGUUGUCACUAAGAGUUCCCUCAGGGGCCUCGGGGGCCACCGCCGCCGUUUCGCUGGAGCCCCUCGGACCCGGAGCA